rnacentral:rRNA from 1 species
ACUACGGGAGGCAGCAGUGAGGAAUAUUGGUCAAUGGGCGCGAGCCUGAACCAGCCAAGUCGCGUGAGGGAAGACGGUCCUAUGGAUUGUAAACCUCUUUUGUCGGGGAGCAAAAGACGCCACGCGUGGCGUUCCGAGAGUACCCGAAGAAAAAGCAUCGGCUAACUCCGUGCCAGCAGCCGCGGUAAUACGGAGGAUGCGAGCGUUAGCCGGAUUUAUUGGGUUUAAAGGGGGCGCAGGCGGAAGAUCAAUACAGCGGUAAAAUUGAGAGGAGCAAUCUCCUCGAGCCGUUGAAACUGGUUCUCUUGAGUGAGCGAGAAGUAUGCGGAAUGCGUGGUGUAGCGGUGAAAUGCAUAGAUAUCACGCAGAACUCCGAUUGCGAAGGCAGCAUACCGGCGCUCAACUGACGCUCAUGCACGAAAGUGUGGGUAUCGAACAGGAUUAGAUACCCCAGUAGUC